rfam:Aedes albopictus isolate Foshan contig7269, whole genome shotgun sequence.
UGCUCAGCCACUCCUAUCCCUACCUCCGCGUAGUAUCGGCCUGGCUACGAGCAACCUCAGGGAAGAUCGGGUAAUCAAUCUCGGUGAGUACUUUGGUCGUAGCUGACAGGGAAGG